AUGACAUUUCACUUUUUAAUACUUUUUUCAUGUUCAAGGGUUUUCUUAUUCUGACAUUAUGUCUUUCUGUAAACUAAAUGUUUACAUUCUGUUGUAAACAUGGUGAUUUUUUUAAGUCCUUACUUGGCAAGACUGUUGAAAUCAUCAGCCUGACUUCUCCCUCUUUCUUCUUCCUCCUUUUCUUCCUCCUCCUGCUCUUCCUUCUUCUUUUUAUAGGGAAAGCUCAAGCAGGGAGUUGGAAGUGGAAGGUCUUCAGAAGCUGUCACCUUCAUUCCUGGUGCCCAUUUAUUUCUGCCAACACUUCGAAAGAUGGAUUUAGGGAUCCUCCUGUGCACCACCUUCCUGAAGUUCCUAAAGGUGAAGUAUGCCCAUGAAAAUUUUCAAGCAACUGCUCCAUAUCCACAAAAUUUAGAAUUGCCAAGACCCCUGCAAGCAAAAAGGCCAGGUGUAUAUUUUUAGUGCAACUCAUCUGACCUGGAAGAAAAAGGUAAACCCCAGAACAGAACACAGAGUCAUCAGUUCAAGAUCGCUGAGGUACCAGGCAAUUCUUCCAGUUUGUCUCUUGUGGACUUAAUGUCUAUGGAAAAUUGACUAUGAAGAGGUUGGCUGGUGGUAAAUAAAGUUUGAGAUUAUAUUAA